GAGGCGAUGAAGGACGUGAUAAGCUGCGAUAAGCUUCGGGUAGGUGCAAAUAACCCUUGAUCCGGAGAUUUCCGAAUGGGACAACCUAGCCGUCUGAAGGACGGUUACUAGCACUUAAGUGUUAGAGCUAACGCAGGGAACUGAAACAUCUUAGUACCUGUAGGAAGAGAAAAUAAAUGAAUGAUUCCCCCAGUAGUGGCGAGCGAACGGGGAACAGCCCAAACCGUUGACGUCGCAAGGCGCCAGCGGGGUUGUAGGACCGCGACAUUGUAUGCAAAUCGUGAACAGAACACUUUGGAAAAUGUGACCAUAGACGGUGAUAGUCCAGUAUGUGAAGCGAAAUGCAGCAUAGCGGUAUCCUGAGUAACGCGGGACACGAGGAAUCCUGCGCGAAUCUGCCGGGACCAUCCGGUAAGGCUAAAUACUCCCGUGAGACCGAUAGCGAACGAGUACUGUGAAGGAAAGGUGAAAAGAACCCCGAGCAGGGGAGUGAAAUAGUUCCUGAAACCAUACGCCUACAAGCGGUCGGAGCAUCUUACGAUGUGACGGCGUGCCUUUUGCAUAAUGAUCCUACGAGUUACCGUCACUGGCGAGGUUGAGUGUCAUGAGACACGUAGCCGCAGUGAAAGCGAGCCUGAACAGGGCGCAUAGUCAGUGGGGGUAGACGCGAAACCAAGUGAUCUACACUUGGCCAGGAUGAAGUCCCGGUAACACGGGAUGGAGGUCCGCACCAAUAAGCGUUGAAAAGCUUCUGGAUGAGCCGAGUGUAGGAGUGAAAGGCCAAUCAAACUUGGAGAUAGCUCGUACUCCCCGAAAGGCAUUUAGGUGCCGCGUCGGAUGGUCACCGUGAGAGGUAGAGCGACCGAUAGGACAAGAGGGCUUCACCGCCUAUCGAGUCCUGACGAACUCCGAAUGCUCACGGUCUGCAGUCCGGCAGUAAGGGGGCGGGUGCUAAGGUCCGUCCCCGAGAGGAGAAGAAUCCAGACCGCCGUCUAAGGUCCCGGAGUUCUGCCUGAGUUAGUCUAACGAAGUCUGGUCCCUAUGACAGCUAGGAUGUUGGCUUGGAAGCAGCCAUUCAUUCAAAGAGUGCGUAACAGCUCACUAGUCGAGGGUCCGGGCAUGGAUAAUAAUCGGGUAUAAGGCAGACACCGAAGGCGCGGGAUAGCAUUUAAGAAAGUAUCGGUAGGGGAGCAUACUCACAGCGUGGAAUGGUGUACGUAAGUUAUCCUGGAGCGGUGAGUAAAGCAAAUGUAGGAAUAAGUAACGAUAAGGAGGGUUAGAUUCCCUCCCGCUGUAAGACCAAGGUUUCCCGGGCAAUGCCAAUCAGCCCGGGGUCAGUCGGGUCCUAAGUCUAAGCCGAACGGCGAUGGCGAUGGCAGAGACGGUUAAUAUUCCGUCACUGCCGCAUGGGGCGACGUGGAGACGGAGCAGUGAAACCACCGCGGGGCGACGGAAGUCCCCGUUGAAGAGUGUAGGUGUUGAGGAUGGCAGGCAAAUCCACCGUCCGAGCUGAACUUGAUAGUAUGGAGUCUUCUUCGGAAGAAUCCAAUAGUGUGGGUAAUCAUACUCCCGAGAAAAUCCGCUAAGCUUAACCCAUGCGGCACCCGUACCGCAAACGGACACACGUGGUCGGGUAGAACAUACUAAGGCGUUGAGAGAUUCAUGGUUAAGGAACUAGGCAAAUUGACCCUGUAACUUCGGGAUAAAGGGUCCUCGUGAUGAGCGAGGCGCAGAGAAUAGGUCCAGGCAACUGUUUAACAAAAACACAGGGCUGUGCAAACUCGAAAGAUGACGUAUACAGCCUGACACCUGCCCGGUGCCGGAAGGUUAAGAGGAGAUGUCACUCGCAAGAGGAAGCAUUGAAUUGAAGCCCCGGUAAACGGCGGCCGUAACUAUAACGGUCCUAAGGUAGCGAAAUUCCUUGUCGGGU
rnacentral:rRNA from 1 species